GCCCCUGUCCCUUUCUCUGAAUCAUCUUGUAGUCUGUAAGCCUCUCAGGACAUCUCAGAGUUCUGGAGAAGGUGGAGGCAGCUCAGAAGGACUCUCCAUCAGGAGUUUGGGGCAGAGGUACCUACCGAGUGUGGCCAAAGGCAUUUCUCAGUAAGUCAUCAGAGGGGGCAGAAUUCCUUAUGAGGAAUCUAGCGCAGCUGGCAUCACGAACACAGUGGGCACAAGCAGAUGGGCAAAGAUAAGCGUGUGAUGCUGGGCUGAGUAUUAGAGGCUGACACUGUUAUUUCCAGCCUGAGUGCUUGGCCCUACUAUCAGGCUGUGGGCUCUGUAACCCAUGGCAACAAGAGAAGAGAAGCAGCUACCUCAGUUGUUCCAAGGCACGUUCCUGAACGCUUAUUGCAGGAUGCCAUGGCCAUUUCCUCAUUCUGUGCAGCUAUUUUUAUUAGGUGUGAACAAUGUGCACGCUGGUGAGGAAAGGGUUAACACUCAGCUGUGCUGUUGAUGUGCCCUUAGUCACAAUAUGUUUCCUUUGAUGCAAGGGUACAGUGUUUCAAAAGACAAUCACUGUAAUUCUAUGCAGAUUUUUCCUGAUGAAUGAAUAGGAAUUUUUCAAUUGAAUCUUUAAAUGCCUUAGAACAAUGUAAGAGAUGGAUUUAAUCCUUAAAAUUUUUUAUUAAAAGGCAUUUCAAAUUUGAAAAACAGGCAUUAUAUACAUAUCUGAUUUAUUACCAUAUAUGUGUUUUGAGUCAUAACGUUGUUGUAGAAGUUACAUAAUGCUUUCACAAAAAAAAUGAUAUGGUCUCUUUG